rnacentral:misc_RNA from 1 species
GGUCAUAUUACGCAAGGGAACCUUGAUAAACUAAACGCCACUCUCCGCAUGGAAAUAGGCGAAUACGUUCGUUUUCAGGAACUCAAGUCUCUGGCCUCUAUGAGCGGCACGUUGACAUUGGAUGAAGCCCAAACCGUCUACCGCUACUUGGGCGAAUCCCCCGAUACCUUCAACGAGCAGCCCGUUGAGGUCAAGUCAGUUCUUACGCAAGUGUUCGCAGAACUUCUGGAGUC